GAUCCCAGCUUGCUGGGGGAUUAGUGGCGAACGGGUGAGUAACACGUGAGUAACCUGCCCUUAACUCUGGGAUAAGCCUGGGAAACUGGGUCUAAUACCGGAUAUGACUCCUCAUCGCAUGGUGGGGGGUGGAAAGCUUUAUUGUGGUUUUGGAUGGACUCGCGGCCUAUCAGCUUGUUGGUGAGGUAAUGGCUCACCAAGGCGACGACGGGUAGCCGGCCUGAGAGGGUGACCGGCCACACUGGGACUGAGACACGGCCCAGACUCCUACGGGAGGCAGCAGUGGGGAAUAUUGCACAAUGGGCGAAAGCCUGAUGCAGCGACGCCGCGUGAGGGAUGACGGCCUUCGGGUUGUAAACCUCUUUCAGUAGGGAAGAAGCGAAAGUGACGGUACCUGCAGAAGAAGCGCCGGCUAACUACGUGCCAGCAGCCGCGGUAAUACGUAGGGCGCAAGCGUUAUCCGGAAUUAUUGGGCGUAAAGAGCUCGUAGGCGGUUUGUCGCGUCUGCCGUGAAAGUCCGGGGCUCAACUCCGGAUCUGCGGUGGGUACGGGCAGACUAGAGUGAUGUAGGGGAGACUGGAAUUCCUGGUGUAGCGGUGAAAUGCGCAGAUAUCAGGAGGAACACCGAUGGCGAAGGCAGGUCUCUGGGCAUUAACUGACGCUGAGGAGCGAAAGCAUGGGGAGCGAACAGGAUUAGAUACCCUGGUAGUCCAUGCCGUANACGUUGGGCACUAGGUGUGGGGGACAUUCNACGUUUUCCGCGCCGUAGCUAACGCAUUAAGUGCCCCG
rnacentral:rRNA from 1 species